ACCCGUUACAGAGGGAGAGAGAGCGGUUACAGAGGGAGAGAGACCCGUUACAGAGGGAGAGAGACCAAGAGAAAACUGACAAAAAACAGUUAGAGGAGCGUUACAUUGCCCUGACUAUAGAAAGGACAGGUUUAGUGACAGGGUCAGUCUUCUGACCAAUGAGAAGGUGAUGCUGGAGAAGAAGAUCUCUGGGUGUGGCACUGGAAGCGUGGUCAGUCGGACCAUGGAGUUUCCAACAACGAGGACUGUGCCGAGGAAUACCAUCUGGACGGCGUUUUAGCCAACUGGAACGAUGCGACCACAUGCUGCGCUGGAUCUGUGAGAAAUGACAUAUAGGUCAAAUCCACAUCUUGUUUAAAUGUGUUUAUUAUAUUAUAAUCUUCAACUGUUUGUUGUACAUUAACAUUUUCCCAAAGAUUGUGUAAUUAACUGUGAGCACAUGCAUUUACUUGUACAUGGCAUUAUCAUUCUUGCUUUCAGCUGUAAUUCAUUUUCGGCAAUAGAUUAUUUGCAGCCUUUUGGAUCAGUCACAACACUGUAUCAGUUUCAGCUUUGUCCUCUUCCCUCUUAAACAGUUUAUUAAUGAAGUAUUACUUGUAUGAAAUUGUAUGAAAUGGCACUGCUUCUAUGAAAUGAUGUAAUGGUAUGAAAUGGCACUGCUUCUAUGAAAUGAUGUAAUGGUAUGAAAUGGCACUGCUUCUAUUAAAUAAGAAAUGUGA